UGCUCGUUUGGGUUGGGCAUCGGCUAAGAGUGCUCAGAGCGUGGAUUAACUCCAGUCUCCUAUCAGGUGUAUAUUUCCUCGCUACUCUAGCUGUAGGAUGGCUACUUCGGGCCGCGAUGGGCCGAAAGGGGUCAUGUGGGCCUAAUGGGCCUACGGGCCCAAUUGGAUAAGUUGUUUGAUUGUGUAGUAAAUAUUGGACUAGGCUAGGUGAAUCUCAUAUUUGUGGCUAGAUUUGGGCUAAAAGGGCCACACGAGCGUGUGGGCCCAUUUGGGCCGAGAAUAGGCUUUAGGCCCAUUUAUAUUGUUAUCCCUAUUUAGAAUACUUUAGUUUACCAAAUUACUGAAAUGCCCUCGAUUUGUAGAAUUACCAUUUUACCUUCGAUUUAUAGAAUUACCGUUUCACUCUCAAUUUACAAAAUUACCGUUUUACCCUUGAUUUACAAAAUUACCAUUUUACCCUCAGUUUACAAAAUUACCGUUUUACCCUCGAUUGUGAAAUUACUGAAAUACCCCUGUAGGAUAGAAUUACCAUAAUACCCCCAACUUGUAAAAUUACCAAAAUACCCCUAGUUUGUAAAAUUAUCGAAAUACCACUAGUUUGUAAAAUUACCGAAAUACCCUUAAUUUGUAAAAUUAUCAAAAUACCCCUGAUUUACAAAAUUACAGAAAUACCCUUGACUUUCUAAAAAUUAUAGAAAUACCAUUGGUUUACAAAAUUACUAAAAUACCCUUGGUUUGUAGAUUUACCAAAACACCCUUGUAGGAUGAAAUGACUAAAAUACCCCUAAUAGGUAAAAAGACCAUAAAGCCCCUGUAAAGUGACCGUAAUACCCUUAUAUGGUAAAAUAACAAAUACGCCCUUAUGUUCCGUAUGACUGAUGUGCUUAGGAUUUACAUAUAUUGAUAUUGGAUUAGUUAAGUUUGAGUGACAGGUGGUGGUUAUCGUAGGUGAUUGAUUAUGGAAACGUUUCAACUUCAACCCAUAACAGGUGUGUACUAACCCUCGUAGUAGCUUAGAUUAAUAUCUAUUGAGAAGCAGAAAUGCUAAAAUACCGGUAUUUCGGGAACUUGUAAUGUUGCGUGUGGGUAUAGAUGCAAUAAAUACGUUAAGAUCGGUGUUUGGAUCGAUGGAAUGGGUAAGAACUCAAUUUUGUGCACGAUGGUAAGUUAGGCCUCAACGGGCAGGAAUUGGGCCAAAUGGGCUUUUGGGCCCAUUUGGGUAAAAUUGAUAGGAAAUGGAAUUUGGAAAAGUUGCAUGUUAACACAGUUAGUAUUGUUGUAAAACUUGGGUUAAGCAGGCUUAGUGGGCUCAAUCAGCAUUCAUAAGGCCCAUUAGGGGUUUUGGGCCCAAAAGCCCGAAUUUGAUAAAAUGGGUUAAAGAUCAUUGUUUAAACACUCGAAAAUAUUGACAAUUGUAAUGAACAUGGAAAACCCUGAUUUUUGGUAAAAUUACGAAAAUACCCUUAUAAUAUGAAAAAUGACUAUUUUGCCCUUGUUGGCAAGUGACUGACUUGGACUGUGUGGUUGACAGAUUUGAUUGUGAAUAUAUGUUGGUGAUAUGAAUGACUUGACUGUGAUUGUUUGAUUCAAAUAUCAGCAUGACAUUCUGCAUACAUGACAUAUUGCAUGGGAUAUGGGUUAUAUUGAUGAAGGAAGUGCUAAAAGGGCUCUGCCCCAGUUUACCGAAAAGGGCUUUGCCCCAGUUUAUCAGAAAGGGCUUUGACCCAAUUAUUAAAAGAGGCUAGGCCUCCAGUUAUAUGAUAAACCAGCUAUGCUGCCAGUGGAGAGUUUGGUUGGGUGGGUUGAGUUAUUCCCCACAUGGUGUGUUAGUUGGUACGGGUGGAGAGUAGCGGAUGGUGGGUUGAGUAGUCUCCUCAAAUGGGCUUGCAUACAUUCAUUGAUAUUACAUGUGAUAUUGAAAUGGGCCUAUGGGCCAUACCGCUUACAGUAAAGGCUUCGGCCAGUGAUAUGAUUUAUGAAAAGGCUUCGGCCCAGUGAUAUGAUUUAUGAAAAGGCUUCGGCCCAGUAUAUGUCGAGACUGAAUUUGGGCUUAGGCCCAUACUGCUACUGUUUAAGGGCUAAGGCCCAAACUGUACUGUUACUGAAUAGGGCUUUGGCCCAGAUUGUACUGACACUGUGUUAUUCACUGUUUGUUUGUUGUUGGGGAUUACACACUGAGUUUUCGUAAACUCACCCCGUUUCUAACUGUGCAGGUAAUCCCUAAGCUUAAAUGGUUUGGAGCUGCGAGGGACUCAGAGAUGGCCACACUACUGUUUCUGUUUCUUUUAAUUGCAAUAAGUAGCCGAUUUAUUUCUUUAUAAGUUUUAUCUUAUUAAUAUUAUUAUUUGGUUUUGGGUUGUAAUAAGGCCAUUUUAAUUAUUUUUCUGGG
rnacentral:lncRNA from 1 species